AUCGCUUCUCGGCCUUUUGGCUAAGAUCAAGUGUAGUAUCAGAUGUCUUCUGAAUGUCAGGUAGUUGUUUAUUUCUUUGUCAUCUGGUGGGAGGGUGUUCCACAGGGUGGGCGCCACUACCGAAAAGGCCCUCUGCCUGGUUCCCUGUAGCUUUUCUUCUCGCAAUGAGGGAACUGCCAGA